rnacentral:rRNA from 1 species
GAUGAACGCUAGCGGAAGGCAUAAUACAUGCAAGUCGAACGGAUGUAGCAAUACAUUAGUGGCGCACGGGUGCGUAACGCGUAUGCAACCUACCUUCAUCAGGGGGAUAACUACCCGAAAGGGUGGCUAACACCGCAUAAUACUAUUGAGCGGCAUCACUUGAUAUUUAAAUCUGAGGAGGAUGAAGAUGGGCAUGCGUCUGAUUAGCUAGUUGGUGUGGUAACGGCGCACCAAGGCGACGAUCAGUAGGGGAACUGCGAGGUUGGACCCCCACACUGACACUGAGAUACGGGCCAGACUCCGACGGGAGGAAGCAGUAGGGAGUAUUGGGCAAUGGUGGGAACACUGAACCAGCCAUUCCGCGUGCAGGAAGAAGGGUCUCUGACUUGUAAUCUGCUGUAGCAAGGGAAGAAAAAGCUCAUGCGUGAGAAAUUGACGGUACCUCGAGAAUAAGCACCGGCUAACUACGUGCCAGCCGCCGCCGUAACAC